AAACAAUGCCAGCAGAAAAGGGGGCUUUGGGGGAGACUCAGUCAGCCCCUCUCCCUCCCCCUGGCUCAUCUAGAUGCAGCUGGACCAUGCACACAGGGAUUAAAGGUUGGAGCCACAGAGGGAAAGAACGGCCAAGGUGGCACACUUGACCCGCAGGGCUUUGCUGCCAUCCCAGCCUAGAGUUUGGAGUCACGUGGCAGAGGGAAACGGAAGGCUGUCCUGCGGCCACAGACAUUGUGCAAUGUAUGUGCUAUCCAUCUGGGCACGGCUGUUUUCCAUCGACAGUAACACAAUGCAGACUGGCUGUGUCUCAACGACAGUAACAACCAAGUUUAUUUUGUCUCUGAGUUCUGGAGGUGCAAAGUGGUGAGUGAUCUGGUGAUAGCCUUCUUGCUAGCGCAUUCCCAAGGAGCAGAUCAUGUGACAUGAGGCAGCAAAAGGUGUAUGUGUCUCUUCCGGGCCCUCUCUCUCCUUAGGUAGCCUUCAGGAUUCAACCAUGGAGCUCUGCAGAAGACCGUCUCUAGUCCCAGUCCCUUCCCCAAAGGUGCUGCUCAAAAUGCUAUUGCUGGAUGAAGUUUUCAUCUUCUCAGUACUUACAAUGAGAAUUCAGUCUCUCGCCUGAACCCUGAGAGGCUGUGACGGUCACUAUUCCUCAUCAACUUGACACAGUGUAGAAUCACCUGGGAAGGGAGUCUCCACGGUGAAUUGUUUAGAUCAGGUUGGUUUGUGGGCAUGUCUGUGGGAAAAUGUCUUGAAUGUGAAGACUCAACCUAGAAGGAAACAGUACCAUUCGCCUGGGCUGGGUCCUGGAUUGUAUAAAAGAGCAAGUGAGCUAAGUAUUAGGUACGCAUCCGUUCUUUCUUCUUGACUGCGGACAUAACCAGCUCCUUCGAGUUCUCGCUGCCUUGAUGGUCCUAUAGAACUAUGAACUGGAAUUGUAAUCCUUAUACAUUCUCUCUCUCCUAAAGGAGCCCUUGUCGGGGUGCUUUAUCACACCUGGAACAGAACUGGAAGAGGAGUGUGUCGGGAUCCAAACCAUGCCUUGUUCACACCCCACCUCUGCCAGUACUGGGGCGGGAGUCGCAUGAGGUGCCAUGACCAACAGAGUCUUGGUGUUGCUGCUGUCUGGCAUGCAGCUGGCACUCAGUUAGCGGUUGCAGGACGCACUCGUUUCUGUCUGUCCUUUGGUCUCUGCCUCACUCUUCUUUCUCUGACUCCUCCCCUGUAGGAGAGACCAGCCCUACGGCUUCGUCAGGCAGCGGAGGUUGGUGGUCUGGGUCCUGCACCUUCCUCCUCCUUUUCAGACCCUUCUUAUGGGCAUCUAUAGCUGCAGCUGUCCACUGCCAGCUCCGCCUACUUGGACAAGAACCAAGCUCAGGCUCCCCAGAUGACUGUCGGGAAAUGGGGAAUCACGUGAGCACACAGGUCAAGUCUCGGCCUCCAGAGCAGCCCUGUUGCCAGACACGCGGGGAAUGUGAUGUCAUUCAAGAUUCCUUUAGUACUCACAGCCCAGCUUCUUGCCUUUCCCCAGGGAGCCAAUGUCCUAAUUGUGGGGAUUCAUUCAUUGCUUCCCCCCUUCCAGGCAUGACUGACAGUAUCUGACUCCACUCCCACCUGCUCCUCUUCCUGACUUCUGUUUCCUUGUGCAACGAACCUGGUAAAGAGCCUGAUGCAUGCCAAACCCCAUGCAGGGAGGGAGCUCCCUCUACCCUAGAAAGAGGAGCAAGCAUCUGGAAAUGGACACCUGGACCUCAGCCCCUUCAAAGCAGGGAACACAUAUCUACUACCCCAAACUGCGACUUUUUAAAGAGUGAAAACUGGAGCUGUUAAUAAUUAUACUGUGCCACCAGCAGUCACGGGGAACCACCCUGCCUUGCCCUGGUGCCCUGCCACCAGGCACAUCGUGGCUGUACUGACUAAAAGGAACUCCUCUCUGCCUCUUUAGUCACAGACAGACCCUGAGCGGUGGGUUAGAGAGAUGGCUCAGUGGUUAGGAGCACAGGCCUGCUGCUCUUCCAGUUCGAUCCCCAGCACCCACAGGGUGGCUCACAACUGUCUGCAACUCCAGUUCUGAGGAGUCUGAUACUCUCUUCUGAACUCCUUGGGUGCCAACCAUGUAAAUGGUACACAGAUAUGCAUUCGAGCAACAACACUCAUACACACAAUUAAAAACAAAACAGGAACAUCUCCAGUGCCUGUGGAAUCUUCCCAAGACCUAAGAGCUCAUGUGCCCCCAGAUAGGGAAACCAGGGUGCAUUCCAAGAACGGGGCAGGCUCCAGUGCUAUCAUCUUCAGUGAUCAGGAGACAGGAUGUCAGGGAACCUGUGGAAGGGGGCCUGAGUGGCUUCCAGCACCAGCUUUCAGGGUCUGUGGCUCUGGGCCUGGUGCACACACAGGUGGACUCCCCAGGCUCUCCAUCUUCCCUGCAACCAAGUCCUGCCUGCUUCAAGGAAAGUGGGGAACUUGGGGAUCUUGUGGUUCCUUUGAGUUUCUUAUCUCCUUUGUGAUGAGGCAUGGUUUGUUCUUAGGGUGUAAGUAGAGCCUCUUGGAGUGAGAAAUGAGUGGUGUGUGUGACUCCUUCUGUCCCUCGGUCUGUUGGACUCUCAGACUAUUAAUACAGCCACGUGUCUGGCUGCACCCCAAGCACACGUGCUCCCCACAAUAAAAUGUCACCCCUCCCAGCUCAGCCUGUUGUUUGUUCUUUCUGAUUGGCGCCAGCCUCAUAGACCCCAUGGAGGUAGAAUAUAACUUGCCAUAAAUAAACUCUAACCUGACCUACAA